rnacentral:rRNA from 1 species
AUUGAACGCUGGCGGCAUGCUUUACACAUGCAAGUCGAACGGCAGCGCGGGCUUCGGCCUGGCGGCGAGUGGCGAACGGGUGAGUAAUGCAUCGGAACGUGCCCAGUAGUGGGGGAUAGCCCGGCGAAAGCCGGAUUAAUACCGCAUACGACCUGAGGGUGAAAGCGGGGGACCGAAAGGCCUCGCGCUAUUGGAGCGGCCGAUGUCGGAUUAGCUAGUUGGUGGGGUAAAGGCUUACCAAGGCGACGAUCCGUAGCUGGUCUGAGAGGACGACCAGCCACACUGGGACUGAGACACGGCCCAGACUCCUACGGGAGGCAGCAGUGGGGAAUUUUGGACAAUGGGGGCAACCCUGAUCCAGCCAUGCCGCGUGCGGGAAGAAGGCCUUCGGGUUGUAAACCGCUUUUGUUCGGGAAGAAAAGCUCUGGGCUAAUACCCCGGGGGGAUGACGGUACCGGAAGAAUAAGCACCGGCUAACUACGUG